rfam:Methanosarcina barkeri str. Fusaro, complete genome.
CACUAUAUUUGCCAUUUGAGGUAAUCUUACUGUGACAUGCAUAAACGGUAACGUUUGUGUGUGAAGCUCACAGGACAAUAUCAAGAAAUCAAAAAGGAUAAUAUCAAGAAAUCAAAAAGGACAAUAUCAAGAAACC